AGAAGAACCUAUGGGCACAAAAAGCAGGAACGAGUAGCGGUGGCUGAAGAACGAGCAGGAGCUUGAAUUUCAGUUUUCUUAUGAGGAAUUUUCCAGAAAAGAUAUCUUCACUGUGAAAUAACUAAAUAAAUGCCCACUCAGUACAACAAAAAUACCUGCUACAUGCUUCCUUCUGUAUGAAUACAUGAGACCUACCUUCAUUCAUGUUUCCUCUAUGAAGCUUUCCCUGCACUCCAAACACAGAGCUGAGACUUCCACCUAAUGUAGAAAGCUAGCACGAGCCGGCGCUGACAGAUGGAAGACUUGAGAUGUUACAAGAUUAUAUAUGGAAACACAAAAGGAGAUACCGGAGCCAUGACAGACUGUGAUGGGGCUGGUGGACAGUUCAGCAAGACAUUGAUAUUGUCCAUUGGCGCUCAGUUCAUCUGUAAUGACACAUUCAAGGAUGACGAUUAAUGUCCAAUAUGUAUAAAGUGGAUCCCUUUGUAAAAACAA
rnacentral:lncRNA from 10 species